AACACUGUUAACCUGCGGUACCUGCGGAGGGAUCAUCACUGAUUCGCGGGGUCUGUGUUCCUGUGUGUGCUGCGUGUAUAGCGCGCGCACAUAGCGAGCCGCCCCAAACCAAUCUUGUGUGCACCGUUUCACUGGUCAAAGGAUGACGUGUGGUGGUUGUGUGUGUUGGUGGUGUGGGAGUGCGUGCGCGCGCGCUGCCCCCACCGACUGCACGCGCCCCGUCGUUCUAAAUUUAUACAA
rnacentral:misc_RNA from 1 species